rnacentral:rRNA from 1 species
UACGGAGGAGGCAAGCGUUAUCCGGAAUUAUUGGGCGUAAAGCGUCCGUAGGUGGCUCUUCAAGUCUGCUGUCAAAGAGUGGGGCUUAACCCUGCAAAGGCAGUGGAAACUGAAAGGCUAGAGAGCCGUAGGGGUAGAGGGAAUUCCCGGUGUAGCGGUGAAAUGCGUAGAUAUCUGGAGGAACACCGGUGGCGAAGGCGGCAUCCUGGACCGGCAUUGACGCUGAGGCGCGAAAGCCAGGGGAGCAAACGGG